AAAACAAUCCCUGCAAUCUAGCCAUUUUUGUUUAAUGAAGAAUGGAGGACUGGCAUUCAGAGAUGUGGUUAUGUGCUGCAUAUUAAUGUGUGCGGAAUUCCGCAGAAGAACAAGUUGCUCUCUGACAAGAAGAAAAGCUGGUCCCAGGAAUACGAUGUUUGGGUGUUUUCGAAAAGACAGCCAGUCUCAGCAGAUUGUUCAAUAAAUGCUUCAUACCCAGGAUGAAGGGAGACAUUAUGGGAUGCCCAGGGGGCUUUGGAAAUCAAAUACAAUGUUUGAGUAGCACAAUUUGAGG
rnacentral:lncRNA from 1 species